rnacentral:rRNA from 1 species
GAAUGCAGCCACAUCACCCUGAACACACCGGAUCUUGCCUGAUCUCAGGAGAGAAGCAGGGCUGGGCCCUGUUAGUAGUUGAAUGGGAGGCCACAUGGGAUGCCAGUGUUACAGUCU